GAUGAAGAACGCAGUGAAAUGCGAUAAGUAAUGUGAAUUGCAGAAUUCAGUGAAUCAUCGAGUCUUUGAACGCACAUUGCGCCCCCUGGUAUUCCGGGGGGCAUGCCUGUCCGAGCGUCAUUGCUGCCCUCAAGCACGGCUUGUGUGUUGGGCCCCGUCCCCUCCCCCGGGGACGGGCCCGAAAGGCAGCGGCGGCACCGCGUCCGAUCCUCGAGCGUAUGGGGCUUUGUCACCCGCUCUGUAGGCCCGGCCGGCGCCAGCCGACACCCAACUUUUAUUUCUAAGGUUGACCUCGGAUCAGGUAGGGAUACCCGCUGAACUUAAGCAUAUCAAUAAGCGGAGGA
rnacentral:misc_RNA from 1 species